GACGAACGCUGGCGGCGUGCCUAAUACAUGCAAGUCGAACGGAGCGGCGAACGGGUGAGUAACGCGUGAGUAACUGACCCCCUCUCUGGGAUAACAGUUGGAAACGGCUGCUAAUACAGGAUAGUGGGGGAUGACUCGCGUCCUAUCAGCUUGUUGGUGGGGUAGGGGCCUACCAAGGCGACGACGGGUAGCCGGCCGUGGAGGGCGACCGGCCACAUUAGGCUGAGAUACGGCCCAAACGCCUACGGGAGGCAGCAGUGGGGAAUAUUGCACAAUGGGGGAAACCCUGAUGCAGCAACGUCGCGUGCGUGAUGACGGUCUUCGGGUUGUAAACCGCUUUCAGCCAUGACGCGGUAGUGGCAGAAGAAGCACCGGCUAACUACGUGCCAGCCGCCGCGGUAAUAC
rnacentral:rRNA from 1 species